rnacentral:rRNA from 1 species
UACGAAGGGGGCUAGCGUUGCUCGGAAUCACUGGGCGUAAAGCGCACGUAGGCGGAUUGCUAAGUCAGGGGUGAAAGCCUGUGGCUCAACCACAGAAUUGCCUUCGAUACUGGACGGCUCGAGACCGGAAGAGGUCAGUGGAACUGCGAGUGUAGAGGUGAAAUUCGUAGAUAUUCGCAAGAACACCAGUGGCGAAGGCGGCUGACUGGUCCGGUUCUGACGCUGAGGCGCGAAAGCGUGGGGAGCAAACAGG